GCGCAGAGGAGGCCAGGGCCUAGGGUGCAGCCAGGGCCCAAGAUAUAUUUUUAGUUGAAAUAUGGAGCCACAGCAACACUUUGACUUUUCCUCUUCAGAAGAUGAGACAGGCCGGGGUCAUCAUUGUUACAAAAGCAAGGCCUGUGAUCGUGACAAGGACAGGCUGGGGCAGAGACCACACACUCAACCAGGCUGACCUGGAGAGAGACCCUUCCAAAGGCAGUGGAGUGGAGGGCAUGGGCCUCCGAUGAGAGAACUCCAGAGCUGGCCGGGACCUACUGUGCUGGCAGCAGACAGGUGGACCCUCAGGCCCAGAGCCGGCAGCAGAGGGGGGUGAAUCCAUGGCAACAGGAGUCACAGGUGAACCAAUGG
rnacentral:lncRNA from 1 species